rfam:Calypte anna contig1250, whole genome shotgun sequence.
ACAUAGGUUUUUCUUCAGUUCUUGUAAAUAAAAUUGACUCAACAAAUUGCAUCCAAAACCACCAACAGUUACUUACAAAUCCUAG